ACGGCUCAGUAACACGUGGAUAACCUGCCCUUGGGUCCGGCAUAACCCCGGGAAACUGGGGAUAAUUCCGGAUAACGCAUAUAUGCUGGAAUGCUUUAUGCGUAAAAUGGAUUCGUCUGCCCAAGGAUGGGUCUGCGGCCUAUCAGGUAGUAGUGGGUGUAAUGUACCUACUAGCCGACGACGGGUACGGGUUGCGAGAGCAAGAGCCCGGAGAUGGAUUCUGAGACAUGAAUCCAGGCCCUACGGGGCGCAGCAGGCGCGAAAACUUUACAAUGCGGGAAACCGUGAUAAGGGGACACCGAGUGCCAGCAUCAUAUGCUGGCUGUCCGGGUGUGUAAAAUACACCUGUUAGCAAGGGCCGGGCAAGACCGGUGCCAGCCGCCGCGGUAACACCGGCGGCCCGAGUGGUGAUCGUGAUUAUUGGGUCUAAAGGGUCCGUAGCCGGUUUGGUCAGUCCUCCGGGAAAUCUGACGGCUCAACCGUUAGGCUUUCGGGGGAUACUGCCAGGCUUGGAACCGGGAGAGGUAAGAGGUACUACAGGGGUAGGAGUGAAAUCUUGUAAUCCCUGUGGGACCACCUGUGGCGAAGGCGUCUUACCAGAACGGGUUCGACGGUGAGGGACGAAAGCUGGGGGCACGAACCGGAUUAGAUACCCGGGUAGUCCCAGCCGUAAACGAUGCUCGCUAGGUGUCAGGCAUGGCGCGACCGUGUCUGGUGCCGCAGGGAAGCCGUGAAGCGAGCCACCUGGGAAGUACGGCCGCAAGGCUGAAACUUAAAGGAAUUGGCGGGGGAGCAC
rnacentral:rRNA from 1 species